rnacentral:snRNA from 1 species
GUGGCUCGCUCCCACCAGCACAUAUACUUAAAUUUAGAAUGAUACAGAGAAAGAUUAUCAUGGCACCUGUGCAAGGAUUACAUGCAAAUUCAUGAAGUGGUACAUAUUUAU